rnacentral:rRNA from 1 species
CUGGUUGAUCCUGCCAGUAGUCAUAUGCUUGUCUCAAAGAUUAAGCCAUGCAUGUCUAAGUAUAAAUCUGGUUCAAGAUGAAACUGCGAAUGGCUCAUUAAAUCAGUUCUAGUUUCUUUGAUGGUAUCUUAACUACAUGGAUAACCGUAGUAACAUAGAGCUAAUACAUGCUUGAAUUCCUGACUGGUUGCUCUCGAGCAUUCGGAAUAGGAUGUAUUUAUUAGAUCCAAAACCAAUGCGCUACUUGUGUUGCUUCACGGUGCAUGAGUGGCGGUUAGAUUGGUGAUUCAUGCUAACUUUUCGGAUCGCAUGGCCUUGUGCUGGCGACGCUUCAUACAAGUUUCUGCCCUAUCAACUGUCGAUGGUAGGGUAUUGGCCUACCAUGGUUGUAACGGGUGACGGAGAAUUAGGGUUCGAUUCCGGAGAGGGAGCCUGAGAAACGGCUACCACAUCUAUGGAUGGCAGCAGGCGCGCAAAUUACCCAAUCCCGACCUGGGGAGGUAGUGACAAUAAAUAACAAUGCGGUCCAUAUUUGGUUCUGCAAUUGGAAUGAGAACAAUGUAAAUACCUUAACGAGGAGCAAUUGGAGGGCAAGUCUGGUGCCAGCAGCCGCGGUAAUUCCAGCUCCAAUAGCGUAUAUUAAAGUUGUUGCAGUUAAAAAGCUCGUAGUUGGAUUUCGGAACGGUCGGGUUGGUCCGCCCUUCAGUGGUGUGUACUAGCUUUGGUAUGUAUGGUUGGUCCUUGUGGUUAGCCUGCUGCCCGUGUUGCACGUGUGUGUAGCAUGUGAUCGUUCUUCUCCCUCGAAGACGAGGUCUGUCCUUUAUUGGAUGGGCUUUGGAUGCGAGGUGUUUACUUUGAAAAAAUUAGAGUGUUCAAAGCAGGCCAAUUCUCGCUUGAAUACAUUAGCAUGGAAUAAUGGAAUAGGACUCUGUGUCUAUUUUGUUGGUUUGAAGGCAGAGAGUAAUGAUUAAUAGGGACAGUUGGGGGCAUUCGUAUUUAAUUGUCAGAGGUGAAAUUCUUGGAUUUCUGAAAGACGAACAACUGCGAAAGCAUUUGCCAAGGAUGUUUUCAUUAAUCAAGAACGAAAGUUAGGGGUUCGAAGACGAUCAGAUACCGUCGUAGUCCUAACCAUAAACAAUGCCGACUAGGGAUCAGCGUACGUUCGUAUGAUUGGACGUCGUUGGCACCUUACGA